CAGCUUCCAAAGUUCUAUCCAAAUGUCUUUUGCUGGCAUUUUAGCUCUCUGGCUGGCAUUAUUGCUGGCAGGGGGUAAUCCCAUUUAUUCCCACUGGCAUAACACUGGAAGCCUCCUUAAAAGGAAACUCUUCAUUGUCCUCUUCUCUCCUGAGCCUCCAGUAGCCAUUCCAGAACUGAGGCUGGGGCAGGGCAGUGCCAUUGAGCCCAGGGCCUGACUUUCAGGGAGGACAGGAGAGUAUUGGGGGAGCAGAAAACCUGUGCCUGAGCCAAGACCCAAGUUCCAGGGGAGGAGAGAGCCCAAGGAAGCAUGAUUUUGGCUGUGCAAGCCCCAUCUCCAACCCAAUGGGCAGAACACCUUAGCUAUAAAUGCACACAAGCUGCAGCUGUGGGCUCUGUGGCCUUCAGGGAACACUGCAUCUGCCCUGGAUCAGUGUUAGAAGGCAUGGCCUGUCUGCCACUUAGUCUGUGCUAGGCUGCCAUCCCCUUUCUGGGUCUUUCCUUCCCCAGCUCUGUUGCACACAUCUUAAAGAGCCCUAGACUGUGACAGAGGUGGCUGGCCUGUUGGGACAUUCCUGUGAAAGCUGACAAGGCAGGUCAUGGUCACACCACUGUCACACCCUCACCAGUCACUAGUACAAUAACCAAUGUAGGGUUGGUGGAUAUCUGGGGGCAGCUCCUCCCUGCCACUCUGCCCUUUUCCUCCAUAGGAGCCCUGAACAUCUGCUCCUGCUCCUAGGCCUGGUUCCAACCUUCCCUAGGACUGAGACUUCCACAUCUUCCCACCUUUCUGGAUCCCAGACAGCUUCCUCCAGCAAGAUCCACUCCAGUGGAAUAUAAAAGUCUUCUUGUCUCACCUGACCCUGGUUUCAGAGUGAGAGGUAACUGCCCUCCUACAUUUGGGAACUGACAUCUGAUGUUAUCUAUUGCACAUUUAAAUUAUUGCCUGGGGUUAAAAGUAAAUACCAGUGAGAAGACCACCUGAGGCAGAGGACCUCUUGUGUGCCUCCCCACCCUCUGCCCAGACUCUCUCAUGUCUAGACACUGUUAUUAUUCUCUUCUUGGGUUUAAGGCAUUACCAGUCUAUGGUUAAAAUGUAAGAUGCUACCCAGGACACAGAACUUGAGUUGAUUUAUUUACAAAUUAGUUAGAUCUGUUUAUCAGAAAGUGACCCAGUACUGGGGGACAAUUCUGUCCUUGGGGAGCCCUUGGUUAACAAGCAUGGGCUGGGCUGGGACUCUAUAUUAAACAGGGUAUAGGACGGGAGAGCAGAGGCAGGAAGCAUAGAAAAGGGAUGGGGCCACUGCUCUCAAGCCAUCAAGCUACCUAGCAGUUCUUACCUGCUCCUGUAUGGGGGCCCUGUUGAUGGACAGGCAGCCUGGGCAGUAGAAGAAAACUGGGCACAAAUUGGAACCCCUGGUCCUGAACCACCCCCAGCCCCGACAAGUUAGCAGUGUCAUCUCAGUACUUACUUUUCUUCUCUGGGCCUGUUUCCCUCUGUAAAAAAUGAUGGGGUUUGGACUAGACAUUCUCAGAGGACUCCCUGUGGCUUGAAUGUGCUGUAGCAAGCAAUCUGAGAUGACCAGUUCCCUUAUGGUAGCCUUUCCUCCUCUGAGCUCCUCCCUGCUGACCUGGUACUGUGCUGGGCCAUACAAGGAGACUCUGGUGUAACUGGUCCCCUAACUCCCUCUACUCCUGUGCCUUCCUCUGCAUAAUUCCAUAUGGAGCCUUAUUUGAAACUGAAAGAAAGAAAAUGGAGCUGGAGAUGCUCCAGGCUAGGGAGCUGAACCACAGAACCAGUCUACCCGGUUUUAACUCUACUGCUGCCAUAAUCUUCAGGAGCCCCUUCACCAGGCAGGCAGGCAGGCAGGCAACAGGAGACCUUGACCAAGGUGACUGGUUUGUUGCUAUUUGCCCUGGGGAGAGUGAGCUGGGUCCUGCUGCACUGAGAUCAGAGGCCAGAACAAAUGUACCACCUACCUGCACUUUCUACACCUGCUUCUCUGAGCACCCAGAGGGGCCUCCUCAGGUCCUGGGCAGCCUAAGUAUGUAUGAAGGACAAAAGUCUGCUUCCACCUGAGUGGACAGAAGCUGUGGGCAAACCAGAGCACAAGUAGAUUAUGACCAGGGCAGAGACACCUGGAUUUGCUGAUCAAGGCACCACUUUGGCAGAAUAGGUUACCACAGAGAACCCACAGGUGUGCAAAAGUAGUCAUCAUUGUUCCUCUGUAAAUACUUGGGUCUCUGCACUGCCUGAUGUGUCAUGAUGAGGUUUUAUAGAAAAUGCUGGCCAGCAU
rnacentral:lncRNA from 1 species